rnacentral:rRNA from 1 species
UACGGGGGGGGGCGAGCGUUGUUCGGAAUUACUGGGCGUAAAGGGUUUGUAGGUGGCCUGCUAAGUCAGACGUGAAAUCCCUCGGCUUAACCGGGGAACUGCGUCUGAUACUGGAUGGCUAGAGUUUGGGAGAGGGAUGCGGAAUUCCAGGUGUAGCGGUGAAAUGCGUAGAUAUCUGGAGGAACACCGGUGGCGAAGGCGGCAUCCUGGACCAACACUGACACUGAGGAGCGAAAGCCAGGGGAGCAAACGGG